AACGAACGCUGGCGGCAUGCCUAACACAUGCAAGUCGAACGAGACCUUCGGGUCUAGUGGCGCACGGGUGCGUAACGCGUGGGAACCUGCCCUUAGGUUCGGAAUCACUCCCCGAAAGGGGUGCUAAUACCGGAUAAUGUCUUCGGACCAAAGAUUUAUCGCCUUUGGAUGGGCCCGCGUUGGAUUAGCUAGUUGGUAGGGUAAAAGCCUACCAAGGCGACGAUCCAUAGCUGGUCUGAGAGGAUGAUCAGCCACACUGGGACUGAGACACGGCCCAGACUCCGACGGGAGGCAGCAGUGGAGAAUAUUGGACAAGGGGCGAAAGCCUGAUCCAGCAAUGCCGCGGAAGUGAUGAAGGCCUUAGGGUUGUAAAGCUCUUUUACCCGAGAUGAUAAUGACAGUACCGGGAGAAUAAGCUCCGGCUAACUCCGUG
rnacentral:rRNA from 1 species